AUGCAAAGAACUUUGAAAAGAGAGUUAAAGAGUACCUGAAAUUGCUGAAACGGAAGCGAAGGAAACCAGUGUUUGUUGGUUCAUAUUUCCCUGGCCACUUGUGGUUUGGGCGCUGUGAGCUUGCGUGUGUUUGUCUUGGUUGAUCCCUUUGGAAGAGCGCAGUCAGAGUUGAUGUCUGUUGCUAGCACUGGGUUUGACUGAUGCAGACGAAAUGGUUUUCUUUACCCCGUCUUGAAACACGGACCAAGGAGUCUAACAUAUGUGCGAGUACAGGGGUGUCAAACCCCGGUGCGUAAUGAAAGUGACAGUGGUUGGAUAUUUUGCACAAUCCGCCGGCCUCAAUCCUUCGGGAGAACGGUCUGAGUGUGAGCAUACAUGUUGGGACCCGAAAGAUGGUGAACUAUGCCUGAAUAGGGUGAAGCCAGGGGAAACUCUGGUGGAGGCUCGUAGCGAUUCUGACGUGCAAAUCGAUCGUCAAAUUUGGGUAUAGGGGCGAAAGACUAAUCGAACCAUCUAGUAGCUGGUUCCCUCCGAAAUUUCCCUCAGGAUAGCUGCAAUCGAUUUCAAUUUUAUCA
rnacentral:rRNA from 1 species